UCGGCGAUGAGGGGGCUGGGCGAAGCCACGCCCACUCUCCCACGCGCACCUGCACUCGCACUGAUCCACCCCAGUCCGCUAAGCAGUGCCACCUAGUGGAGAACGGAGCCGUCACACCAAGCCCCGCCCAACAAAUUGUUACUGCGUGAAGAAAACAACGGAUUUUGGGGUUGCUAGUUUAUUAUCACAGAAAUUAAGCAAUGAGUUUCUGUGUUUGCCCUGACUGAUAAGUCGUGAACGGAAAUGAUUUGCAAUGACGCACCACUCCUGGAGGAAAACGGUUGAGGAGAGGAUUGAUUGUCAAAUGAGCACAGAGCCCCUGCUUUGCCCAUUGUUACCAUCCAGUGUCUACACCUGGGGACUCCGGUUUUUACCUCAGACAGCAGAACUCACCUACAUCUGACUUCUAAGAUCUGGAGGGAUCCAGAGAACAAUCAUUUUAGCUUUCAGGUUACAGGCCUCACGGCUAACACAUCGGCUGCACAAGCCGAGGAACCUGGGGAUCCCCCCUGGACGGCGCCGAAGUCCCGCCUGCAGGGGUUGCUGGACUAAUGAUCUGUCACUUUCUGUAAACACUCAUCUGAGACCCACGAACCCACAGGUUCAUUCGCUGAACCUUAAAGUUUCUGGACCCUUUCUUCUGCGAUGUCCAAUCCAUUAACUCACACUGGGUUUGCUUGGAACUCAGCAGCAACAUAAGGAAAUAUUUAUGAAGCACAACGUUCCAGGAGAGGGAAGAAGCGUGCGGGGGACAGACAGACACACGGUUCAGAGCAGCAUAAUUCACACUGUUCCGGGUGUUGCUGGAAAAGCACAGCAUCCC